CACCGCCCGUCACAUCACGAAAGUGGACUGCACUAGAAGCCGGUGAGCCAACCGCAAGGGGGCAGCCGUCCAAGGUAUGGUUCAUCGAUUCGGGGUGAAGUCGUAACAAGGUACCC
rnacentral:rRNA from 1 species